UGGGGAAUAUUGCACAAUGGGCGCAAGCCUGAUGCAGCCAUGCCGCGUGUAUGAAGAAGGCCUUCGGGUUGUAAAGUACUUUCAGUCGGGAGGAAGGUGGUAAGGUUAAUAACCUUAUCAAUUGACGUUACCGACAGAAGAAGCACCGGCUAACUCCGUGCCAGCAGCCGCGGUAAUACGGAGGGUGCAAGCGUUAAUCGGAAUUACUGGGCGUAAAGCGCACGCAGGCGGUUGAUUGAGUCAGAUGUGAAAUCCCCGGGCUUAACCCGGGAAUUGCAUCUGAUACUGGUCAGCUAGAGUCUUGUAGAGGGGGGUAGAAUUCCAUGUGUAGCGGUGAAAUGCGUAGAGAUGUGGAGGAAUACCGGUGGCGAAGGCGGCCCCCAGGACAAAGACUGACGCUCAGGUGCGAAAGCGUGGGGAGCAAACAGG
rnacentral:rRNA from 1 species